GGAUGUGAGGGCGAUCUGGCUGAGACAUCUGUCACCCCAUUGAUCGCCAGGGUUAAUUCGGCUGAUCUGGCUGGCUAGGCGGGUGUCCCCUUCCUCCCUCACCGCUCCAUGUGCAUCCCUCCCGAAGCUGCGCACUCGGUCGAAGAGGACGACCAUCCCCGAUAGAGGAGGACCGUUCUUCGGUCAAGGGUAUACGAGUAGCUGCGCUCCCCUGCUAGAACCUCCAAACAAGCUCUCAAGAGUAUUGUAUCUGGGGGAAGAUUUCAUUUCAGACACUCAAAAGAUUU
rnacentral:snRNA from 1 species